UGUAAAGAAUUUGGGGGAAUAUCGCUCGCCCUGUGCACAGGAUUGAUAGAAGAGAAAAAUACUAUAAAGAGAUAAAGAAAGAGAGACACAGAAAAUCUGGAAAGAUAUUGCUAAAGGUGAUGUUAAACUAAAAUAUUGGGGUGGAUCGGAUAGUGGUAGUAGGUAGACGAGAUAACCAGUAAGAAAAGGAGCAAGAAUACGAGAGUAAAAGCAAAACGGAAAAAAUAAUGAGUUAGUGAAGGAAGAGAGAUGAAAUAAAAUACUGAGUUAAUAAUGAUAAGUCCCGAGCAGCAACUUGGAAACCUGAGUUAUACAACUCCCUGACAGAUAUUCGUUGAUAAUACCUUGAGCCAUCAAAUAGAAUGUGUAGCUUGGAUUUCCUGGCCGUGUCUUGUCCUGUGUCCUUAGAAAACUUAAGGUAACACAUAGAUCUCAAGCAAAGUACAUCGUUGGGCAGAUUCAUAAAUUGUUGAUCAACCACAUCUGUGCUUUCAAGAUUGCUGAGUGAAGGAUUUGAACAACUAUAAACAAGAAGGUAGUGAUGACAUUUUAUGUGAAUCUCGCUUGCAACUCUCAAGAGUUCUUUGCACCAAGCAGAUGAAAGCAACACAUCUAGUUUUCCUGGAGACUGAAAGUUGAGAUCGUUUGGUGCCACAGUAAGCUCAACAUGCAAUGGGAGAUAAAAUUUGAGAAAUCUUAGUCGAGACAUCUUUUUAAGAGUGUCUACUUUUAAAGGGAAUUAAUAUUGUCGUCAUCAUUGAAAAAACAAAAGACUUGGAGGCUAUGACCAUUGAGCAACUUUUGGGCUCGUUACAAGUUUAUGAAGAAAAGAAAAAGAAGAAAGGGAUCAUGGAGCAACUACUCAAGACACAAGUUAAUUCAACCAAUGAAGAAAGUAGUCACAAUAAUAGGAGCCAACGAGGACAAGGUUGUGGUGGAGAUCGAGGAAGAUGACAAAGUUGGAGGCUAUAUGACAACAACAACAACAACUUUCAAAGAGGAGGAAGUUCAGCAAGAGGUCGUGGACAAGGUAUGAUAAGUCAAAUGUGAAAUGUUGCAAUUGUGAGAAGUUUAGUCAUUAUGCUUUCAAAUGUAGAGUUUCUAGCAACAAUAAGGUUGAAGAGAAGGCAAACUACGUGAAAGAAAGAAUUAAAGAAGGUGACAAUUUAUUGAUGGCUUGAAUGGGUAAUGAAAGAAACGAAGACAAUAGAUGAUACCUACACACAGGUGCAAGCAAUCAUAUGUGCGGGAAAAAAAACAUGUUUGUGGAGCUUGAUGAAUCGAUGAGCAGCAAUGUGGCCUUUGGAGAUGAAUCCAAGGUAGAAGUGAAAGGAAAAGGUAACAUUCUUAUCCGUUUGAAGAAUGGUGAUCGUCAAUUAAUCCCAAAUGCUUAUUAUGUGCCAAAUAUGAAAAGUAAUAUCUUAAGCCUAUGGCAGUUCCUAGAGAAAGGUUAUGAUAUCCGCUUAAAAGGCAAUAGCUUUUCUAUAAGAGACAAUGCAAGUAACUUGAUUACUAAGGUGUCAAUGUCAAAAAUAGAAUGUUUGUGCUCAACUUUCAAAAUGAUGUUGCAAAAUGUCUCAAUAUGUGCUACAAAGAUGCGUAUUGGCUUUAGCAUCUUCGAUUUGAGCAUCUCAAUUUUGGAGAAUUAGAGUUGCUCUCCAAGAAGAAAAUGGUGAAAGGAUUGUCUUACACUAGUCACCCUGAUCAAGUAUGUGAAGGAUAUUCACUUGGAAAGCAAUUCAAUAAAAGCUUUUCAAAGGAGUCUAACUCAAGAGCUAAAAAGCCAUUGGAAAGCAUACAUACAAAUUUCGAUCUAACUACUCUAGAUUUCUUUAGAACAUUCUUCAAAGUCAUUUGUAAGGGCUACCUCAUCAUCUGUGGAACUAUCAGAGUCAUUUGAUCCAUCAGAUUAAUACAUUUGCACUUUAAAAGCUUUGGAUAGGCUCUUCUUUUCUUCUCUUCUGAAGUUUGAUUCUUCAGACUUGAGAGUAGUGAAAUUAUUCUUUUGAAAAUGAUCCAUGUUCAGAUGAACUUCAUGAACUCUUAAAAUACCAAGCAACUCACCUUAUGUAAGAUUUUUUAGGUCUCUUGCUUCUUGGAUGGUUGUGGUCUUUGGUUCCCACAUCUUAUGAAAGUUGUUCGACACCUUCAAGUUUAUUUGAGUCUUGAAAUAUGUCUAUCCAAGGGCUUUCAGAUUGUUCAAAAGAACUUGAAGUCUUCUAAGCAUGUCAUCCACAAACUCUACAUUUAAGUGUUGCAUUUAAGAUCUUCAUUUAAUACUCUGUGUUUAAAAUCCUAUUUUGCAAAAAACAUUAUCCUAGAAUCUAUCGAAAUCAUAUGAAGAAUAAAUGAAGUCUAAGAUUUGAAAUUGCUCAUCUUUAUCAAAAGGUGUGCUUUGCUAUGCAAACCUACUAUGAUAGAAGAAGUGACUAGAAUUAAAUGCCCCAAUGACCAGAAUUCAUUAGAUGAAGAAUUUUCGUGAAGAAUUAAUCUGAUAAGAGACAACAAACACUUAAAGAUGAAGACUAUAAAUAGAAGAAACUUUGAAGAACAAGACAUGAACCAAUCUUACGUGCAAAAUUCAUUCAUUCUUUCUUGUGUAAAGUUUUCUAUAAAUUCUUAUAUAGAUCAAAAAGCUCUCAAAACACUUUGUUCAUCUUGAGAGAAUACACUAAAGAGCCGAGUGAGAUAUUCUUCCGUAAGACUUUUAUAUAGUUCCUUUUUUUUUUACAAAAAAUUCAGUUUUAGUCUUUUAUUUAUCAAAUUUGAGUCAAUAUUAUCUUUGUGAAACAACAAUCGCUCUCAAUUUUAAAUUGGGGUUUUUUUAUUGGUAAAGUGU